rnacentral:rRNA from 1 species
UACAGAGGAUGCAAGCGUUAUCCGGAAUGAUUGGGCGUAAAGCGUCUGUAGGUGGCUUUUUAAGUCCGCCGUCAAAUCCCAGGGCUCAACUCUGGACAGGCGGUGGAAACUACCAAGCUGGAGUACGGUAGGGGCAGAGGGAAUUCCCGGUGGAGCGGUGAAAUGCGUAGAGAUCGGGAAGAACGCCAAGGGCGAAGGCACUCUGCUAGGCCUGAUUUCGCGACUGACACUCAGGGACGAGAGCCAGGGGAGCGAAUGGG